rnacentral:rRNA from 1 species
GACGAACGCGGCGGCGUGCCUAAACAUGCAAGUAGAACGCUGAAGGAGGAGCUUGCUUCUCUGGAUGAGUUGCGAACGGGUGAGUAACGCGUAGGUAACCUGCCUGGUAGCGGGGGAUAACUAUUGGAAAUGAUAGCUAAUACCGCAUAAGAGUAGAUGUUGCAUGACAUUUGCUUAAAAGGUGCAAUUGCAUCACUACCAGAUGGACCUGCGUUGUAUUAGCUAGUUUGUGGGGUAACGGCUCACCAAGGCGACGAUACAUAGCCGACCUGAGAGGGUGAUCGGCCACACUGGGACUGAGACACGGCCCAGACUCCUACGGGAGGCAGCAGUAGGGAAUCUUCGGCAAUGGACGGAAGUCUGACCGAGCAACGCCGCGUGAGUGAAGAAGGUUUUCGGAUCGUAAAGCUCUGUUGUAAGAGAAGAAACGAGUGUGAGAAGUGGAAAG